rnacentral:rRNA from 1 species
CGGUGCGGGCUGUGAAAACGGUACCAAAUCGAUGCAAACUCAGAAUACUAUCCAUAUUUUCCAAUCAUUAGUGAGACUGUGGGGGAUAAGCUUCAUUGUCAAGAGGGAAACAACCCAGACCAUCGAUUAAGGCCCCUAAAUGAUUACUCAGUGAAAAAGGAGGUAAUAAUACCGAGACAACCAGAAGGUUUGCUUAGAAGCAGCAAUCCUUAAAAGAGUGCGUAA